rnacentral:rRNA from 1 species
AGCGAACGCUGGCGGCAGGCCUAACACAUGCAAGUCGAACGGAUCCUUCGGGAUUAGUGGCGGACGGGUGAGUAACACGUGGGAACGUGCCCUUUGGUUCGGAACAACUCAGGGAAACUUGAGCUAAUACCGGAUGUGCCCUUCGGGGGAAAGAUUUAUCGCCAUUGGAGCGGCCCGCGUCUGAUUAGCUAGUUGGUGGGGUAACGGCCCACCAAGGCGACGAUCAGUAGCUGGUCUGAGAGGAUGAUCAGCCACACUGGGACUGAGACACGGCCCAGACUCCUACGGGAGGCAGCAGUGGGGAAUCUUGCGCAAUGGGCGAAAGCCUGACGCAGCCAUGCCGCGUGAAUGAUGACGGUCUUAGGAUUGUAAAAUUCUUUCAGCGGGGACGAUAAUGACGGUACCCGCAGAAGAAGCUCCGGCUAACUUCGUG